rnacentral:lncRNA from 1 species
AAAGGAAUUACCAUGCCAAAGAAGAUCCCAUUUAAGGCUAUGUGUAAAGCACUACCUAUUGCUAAAGAUAUUAUGAAGUGAUAUAUUUUACAGCUAGUAGAAAUUGUGUGAUGAUAAAAAAAAUUGUGUGAUGAUGAAUAAAGAGAGAGUAAAUUACACUAUUUUGUAUGAGAUGAAGUUAGAUUAUAUUGAAUUAUGCUUCAUCUAAAUCUUAUGUUAAAAUUUAAACUCUACUUUGGUUCAAGCUCACUUACCUAAUAUUUUUGGUCUUAUGUUGUUUUACCUGCCACUUAUGUCAUAAAUAGAAUACCAACUCCCCUUUUGAAAGAGAACUCCCCUUUUGAAAUGAUUCAGACAUGUCUUUCUAAUUUGCAAGAUUUAGUGGUAUGUUUGGUACAAGAGCAAUAGAGAUGAGAGAGAUAACAAAGAGAGAAAGAGAAGAGAAAUAAGACAUUUCUCUUAUUUGGUGCAUGCAAGAAAGAGAGAAGACAGAAAAGAUUGGUGUGGCGCCCAUUCAUUUUUGUCUCCUUAUCGGUAAUCAUCGAAGAAAGUGGAGAGAAGUUGCUUAUUUAAUGCCUUUUCCAUUUAUCACCUAGCUACUACCCGUACUAAUUCUACCUAGGAACUCCUAGAUAUGAGCACCUCUGCUCACUCCCAUCGAACAACACAGACAACGUUGUUAUCAAACACAAUACGAACCAACGGUGGAGACACUCUCCUAGAAAACUAGAAUUUUCUCUCGCUUAAAAUCUCUCGAGUAAAUCACACACAAACUAAC